UACGUAGGCAGCAAGCGUUGUUCGGAAUUACUGGGCGUAAAGAGUGUGUAGGCGGUGUUCUAAGUUUGUCGUGAAAUCUCCCGGCUUAACUGGGAGGGUGCGGCGAAAACUGGAAUGCUAGAGGAUGGGAGAGGUAAGCGGAAUUCCUGGUGUAGCGGUGAAAUGCGUAGAUAUCAGGAGGAACACCGGUGGUGUAAACGGCUUUCUGGACCAUAACUGACGCUGAGGCACGAAAGCGUGGGGAGCGAACAGG
rnacentral:rRNA from 1 species